rnacentral:pre_miRNA from 1 species
AUCCUUCUGUAUCCGUGCUGAGAUUUCGUCACACACCAGACCAAAAAGGCUGACAUGACUCCCAAGAUAAGUGGAGUG